UACGUAGGUGGCAAGCGUUGUCCGGAUUUACUGGGCGUAAAGAGCGCGCAGGCGGUCGUUCAAGUCGCGUGUGAAAGCCCCCGGCUCAACUGGGGAGGGUCACGCGAUACUGAUCGACUGGAAGGCAGGAGAGGGUAGUGGAAUUCCCGGUGUAGUGGUGAAAUGCGCAGAUAUCAGGAGGAACACCAAUGGCGAAGGCAGCACUCUGGGACGUGACUGACGCUGAGACGCGAAAGCGUGGGGAGCAAACAGG
rnacentral:rRNA from 1 species